CAACAUUAUCAUAUUUGGUGGGAUAGAUGGGUUCUCACGAAAGAUCAUGUACUUGGAACCAGCAACAAACAACCGUUCAAGCACUGCCUUAUCAUUCUUUCUCCUGUCUGUGCAAAAGCAUGGCUGGCCUUCAAGGGUCCGGGGUGAUGAAGGUGUGGAAAAUGUGGCAAUUGCAGAAACCAUGUUUCAUGUGAAAGGAACCGGAAGAG